GCGUGAUAAUGGAUUGAUGGCAGGCCCUUCUCUGUGGGCCUCUCAUAUUGUACCUGUGCUAGAGUAGUAUGCAACCCUGAACCAUUGCCCACCUUCCUCACUGGUGUGCUGUGUGAGCACUGAAGGGGGCUGUAACUUG
ensembl:snoRNA